rnacentral:miRNA from 1 species
GUGCUCGUCCACAAGAGAAGCAGG